AAUGGGUCAGCGACUUAUAUUCUGUAGCAAGGUUAACCGAAUAGGGGAGCCGAAGGGAAACCGAGUCUUAACUGGGCGUUAAGUUGCAGGGUAUAGACCCGAAACCCGGUGAUCUAGCCAUGGGCAGGUUGAAGGUUGGGUAACACUAACUGGAGGACCGAACCGACUAAUGUUGAAAAAUUAGCGGAUGACUUGUGGCUGGGGGUGAAAGGCCAAUCAAACCGGGAGAUAGCUGGUUCUCCCCGAAAGCUAUUUAGGUAGCGCCUCGUGAAUUCAUCUCCGGGGGUAGAGCACUGUUUCGGCAAGGGGGUCAUCCCGACUUACCAACCCGAUGCAAACUGCGAAUACCGGAGAAUGUUAUCACGGGAGACACACGGCGGGUGCUAACGUCCGUCGUGAAGAGGGAAACAACCCAGACCGCCAGCUAAGGUCCCAAAGUCAUGGUUAAGUGGGAAACGAUGUGGGAAGGCCCAGACAGCCAGGAUGUUGGCUUAGAAGCAGCCAUCAUUUAAAGAAAGCGUAAUAGCUCACUGGUCGAGUCGGCCUGCGCGGAAGAUGUAACGGGGCUAAACCAUGCACCGAAGCUGCGGCAGCGACACUGUGUGUUGUUGGGUAGGGGAGCGUUCUGUAAGCCUGUGAAGGUGUGCUGUGAGGCAUGCUGGAGGUAUCAGAAGUGCGAAUGCUGACAUAAGUAACGAUAAAGCGGGUGAAAAGCCCGCUCGCCGGAAGACCAAGGGU
rnacentral:rRNA from 1 species